UGUACACGCGUCCGCGUAUGUGAUUCUUCACUGCAUGUAUUUUGUUUGACAACACAAUUGAAAGUCUUUUUCUUCUUCACUUGGCUCCCUACGGCUUCCUUUUAAGUCCUUUUCUUCUUCACUUGGCUCUCUACAGCUUCUUUCCUUACAGGUUGACAGUCACAUGCAACCAGCAGCAAGUGUUAGUUCUGAAGAAAAUAUUCGUUGAAGGUUCACUGGCGUUUCCAUGUGCAUUCGCAUAGUUGACUAAGG